rnacentral:tRNA from 1 species
UCCAGGGUAGCCUAGUGGACAUGGCAUCUGCCCGGUAAGCGGAUCAUUGUGGGUUCGAUUCCCAUCCCUGGAC